rnacentral:rRNA from 1 species
ACGGGUGAGUAAUACAUCGGAACGUACCCAGUCGUGGGGGAUAACUAACCGAAAGGUUAGCUAAUACCGCAUACGACCUGAGGGAGAAAGCGGGGGACCGUAAGGCCUCGCGCGAUUGGAGCGGCCGAUGUCUGAUUAGCUAGUUGGUGAGGUAAAGGCUCACCAAGGCGACGAUCAGUAGCAGGUCUGAGAGGAUGAUCUGCCACACUGGAACUGAGACACGGUCCAGACUCCUACGGGAGGCAGCAGUGGGGAAUUUUGGACAAUGGGGGAAACCCUGAUCCAGCCAUUCCGCGUGAGUGAAGAAGGCCUUCGGGUUGUAAAGCUCUUUCGGCAGGGAAGAAACGCUCUGGAAUAAUACUCCGGGGUAAUGACGGUACCUGAAGAAGAAGCACCGGCUAACUACGUGCCAGCAGCCGCGGUAAUACGUAGGGUGCGAGCGUUAAUCGGAAUUACUGGGCGUAAAGCGUGCGCAGGCGGUUUUGUAAGACAGGUGUGAAAUCCCCGGGCUUAACCUGGGAACUGCGCUUGUGACUGCAAGACUCGAGUACGGCAGAGGGGGGUAGAAUUCCACGUGUAGC